rnacentral:rRNA from 1 species
UGGAUCCAGACUUUGAUCAUGGCUCAGGACGAACGCUGGCGGCGCGCCUAACACAUGCAAGUCGAACGAGAGAAGAAGAGCUUGCUUUUCUGAUCGAGUGGCGAACGGGUGAGUAACGCGUGAGGAACCUGCCUCAAAGAGGGGGACAACAGUUGGAAACGACUGCUAAUACCGCAUAAGCCCACGGCUCGGCAUCGAGCAGAGGGAAAAGGAGCAAUCCGCUUUGAGAUGGCCUCGCGUCCGAUUAGCUAGUUGGUGAGGUAAUGGCCCACCAAGGCGACGAUCGGUAGCCGGACUGAGAGGUUGAACGGCCACAUUGGGACUGGGACACGGCCCAGACUCCUACGGGAGGCAGCAGUGGGGAAUAUUGCACAAUGGGGGAAACCCUGAUGCAGCGACGCCGCGUGGAGGAAGAAGGUCUUCGGAUUGUAAACUCCUGUUGUUGAGGAAGAUAAUGACGGUACUCAACAAGGAAGUGACGGCUAACUACGUGCCAGCAGCCGCGGUAAAACGUAGGUCACAAGCGUUGUCCGGAAUUACUGGGUGUAAAGGGAGCGCAGGCGGGCGAUCAAGUUGGAAGUGAAAUCCAUGGGCUCAACCCAUGAACUGCUUUCAAAACUGAUUGUCUUGAGUAGUGCAGAGGUAGGCGGAAUUCCCGGUGUAGCGGUGGAAUGCGUAGAUAUCGGGAGGAACACCAGUGGCGAAGGCGGCCUACUGGGCACCAACUGACGCUGAGGCUCGAAAGUGUGGGUAGCAAACAGGAUUAGAUACCCUGGUAGUCCACACCGUAAACGAUGAUUACUAGGUGUUGGAGGAUUGACCCCUUCAGUGCCGCAGUUAACACAAUAAGUAAUCCACCUGGGGAGUACGACCGCAAGGUUGCAACUCAAAUGAAUUGACGGA